UACAGAGGUCCCGAGCGUUGUUCGGAUUCACUGGGCGUAAAGGGUGCGUAGGUGGUGAGGUAAGUCGGAUGUGAAAGCUCGGAGCUCAACUCCGAAAUGGCAUUGGAAACUACCUUGCUAGAGGUUUGGAAGGGGGACUGGAAUGCUUGGUGUAGCAGUGAAAUGCGUAGAUAUCAAGCGGAACACCAGUGGCGAAGGCGAGUCCCUGGACAACACCUGACACUGAGGCACGAAAGCUAGGGGAGCAAACAGG
rnacentral:rRNA from 1 species